UGGCUCUCGCAUCGAUGAAGAACGCAGCGAAAUGCGAUACGUAAUGUGAAUUGCAGAAUUCAGUGAAUCAUCGAAUCUUUGAACGCACCUUGCACUCUUCGGUAUUCCGAAGAGUACGCCUGUUCGAGCGUCAUGAAAUUCUCAUACUUCUCAUUUAAUUGGGAUGUGUGGACUUGGACCCUUGCAGCUGAAACAACGUUGCUGGUCUUAAAUAUAUUAGUCUUGUAGGCUUGAGACUACUCGGCGUGAUAAUUUUCAUCGUUGGGGAAAUCAGAGCUUGAGGGGCUUUCUAACUGUCAUUCAUGACAUACGAGUUCAAUAUCUGACCUCGAAUCAGGUGGGACUACCCGCUGA
rnacentral:misc_RNA from 1 species